rnacentral:rRNA from 1 species
GACGAACGCUGGCGGCGUGCUUAACACAUGCAAGUCGAACGGAAAGGCCCUGCUUUUGUGGGGUGCUCGAGUGGCGAACGGGUGAGUAACACGUGAGUAACCUGCCCUUGACUUUGGGAUAACUUCAGGAAACUGGGGCUAAUACCGGAUAGGAGCCCCUGCUGCAUGGUGGGGGUUGGAACGUUUCGGCGGUCGGGGAUGGACUCGCGGCUUAUCAGCUUGUUGGUGGGGUAGUGGCUUACCAAGGCUUUGACGGGUAGCCGGCCUGAGAGGGUGACCGGCCACAUUGGGACUGAGGGACGGCCCAGUCGCCUACGGGAGGCAGCAGUGGGGAAUAUUGCACAAUGGGCGGGAGCCUGAUGCAGCAACGCCGCGUGCGGAAUGACGGCCUUCGGGUUGUAAACCGCUGUCGCCUGUGACGAAGCGGGAGUGACGGUAAUGGGUAAAGAAGCACCGGCUAACUACGUG